UACGUAGGGUGCAAGCGUUGUCCGGAAUUAUUGGGCGUAAAGAGCUCGUAGGCGGUCUGUCGCGUCGGCUGUGAAAUCCCGAGGCUCAACCUCGGGUCUGCAGUCGAUACGGGCAAACUAGAGUAUUGCAGGGGAGACUGGAAUUCCUGGUGUAGCGGUGAAAUGCGUAGAUAUCGGGAGGAACACCAGUGGCGAAGGCGACUACCUGGCCUGUUCUUGACGCUGAGGCGCGAAAGCUAGGGGAGCAAACGGG
rnacentral:rRNA from 1 species